rnacentral:rRNA from 1 species
AAUGAACGUUGGCGGCAUGGAUUAGGCAUGCAAGUCGAGCGAGAAAGGUUUGGUAGCUUGCUAUUGAACCUGGAAAGCGGCGAAAGGGAGAGUAACGCGUAGUUAUGUACCCAGGGGUUCGGAAUAGCCACGGGAAACUGUGGGUAAUGCCGAAUAACAUCUCCGGAUCAAAGGUGUGAUUCCGCCCUUGGAGCAGACUGCGUCCUACUAGCUUGUUGGCGGGGUAAUGGCCCACCAAGGCGACGAUGGGUAGCGGGUGUGAGAGCAUGACCCGUCUCACUGGGACUGAGACACUGCCCAGACACCUACGGGUGGCUGCAGUCGAGAAUCUUCGGCAAUGGACGAGAGUCUGACCGAGCGAUGCCGCGUGCGGGAUGAAGGCCCUCGGGUUGUAAACCGCUGUCGUAGGGGAGGAAGUUGUUGGGGGUACUCCCCCAUCAUUGACCUAUCCUAGGAGGAAGUACGGGCUAAGUACGUGCCAGCCGCCGCCGUAACAC